GGGACCAAUCCCUGUUACUUCUCAGUUUUUCUGAUGAGAAGCCAGCAAGGUUCAUUUUCACUUUCCAGUUUCAGCUUCCUACUGGUGACAUCAAGAACACAUCACAGCUCACAGAGCUGUUUCCCAGCCCUGUCUGAGAGUUCAGGUGGUGAGAAAGACCACAAGACAGCAGAGAGUCAAGGCGUGAUUCUGAGGAGCCCUAUCCUGGUGUAAACCCAGACAGCAGCUGACACCUUAACAACAACCAUGUGAUCCCUUGCUGGAACCGGUAAGGAGUUGUAAGGAUGGACACUACAUAGUGGAGGUCCUCACCAAGAUGGAGAAAGAAGGGAAUGCACACUGAUGGAUCACCGGUGGAAUUACUGGCUAACUUCAAGGGGCCGCUGAGGAGUGAAUUCUCAUUACCUGGAAGACAGAGGAACCGGUAUGGGUUCCUCAGUGGCCACUGUCCUCUGAAAAACUGAGCGCAGCAAAGGUCCUUGUGGCUGAACAGCUGGCAUUGGGACACAUUAAACCAUCAGUGUCUCCGUGGAACACCCCCAUCUUCGUGAUUAAGAAAAGAUCGGGAAAAUGGCGCCUACUGCAUGACCUAAGGGCAAUCAAUAAUCAAA